CCGAGUCACGUGGCCGGCGGCGGCCGCCCGGGGAGCCCGCGUCGACGUGGAGGCUGCGCGCCUGCACCCGGGAACGAGCCGUGAUCGUCGUUCUGGCUUUGAGCCGCGGGUGACCUCAUGGGACGUCGUGCACGCCAGCCCUGGAGUCGUUUGGCGCGAUCCUGCUGCUCGGGAGACGGAGCCCGGUUACGGAGUCGCGCAAGCAUCGGAGUUUGCAGCGGUGACGUCCUCGUCUGGAAAUGAGCUCCGGUCGGACCGACUCCUCCCUGCUCCCGCUGUGAAUCCCCGUAGUACUCUGCACGCCCCGCUGUAGUACGCGGUGUGCUGCGGUGUCUUCAGGUCUUCGACGUUCAGUUGGCUUCUCAUUCAUGCCGACGUUCUUGCCUCCAUUCAGCAACUGUUGGUUGCUGGUGUUUCCUACGCCCGCCGCGCGAGGCGCUGAGUACGAAGCAGAGAAUAAAAGAGACGAGAUACUUUGUUCCCACGGAGCCAGAAUGUCAGGAGCAGACAGGAUGUGACAUUAUGGCUGUAACUCCAGCACCAAUUUCAGACAAAUGAAGAGACCUCAACUAUGGCUGAGCAUGAGGAUAGGAGCUUGGGUCUCUGUUUUGUGAAGCCACUGUGUCAUGCUUAAACAGCCACAUCUGGAUUUCUUUUACAUGAGAAAAUAAAUCUUUAUGUGUUUCAGCUACGUUAUUUUGGGUUUUCUGUUAUUGUAGCAGAACCUAAUUUUGACACAGUACGACCUAAAUAACCAAGAGGAACUCUUCAUGAAGGAAGCUUGUUCUGUCCCAUAUGCCUUAUUUAAAUAAAAACAUUUUCAUUUC